GAUGAACGCUGGCGACGUGCCUAAUGCAUGCAAGUCGGACGCAGAGCCUUCGGGACCGGUGUGGCGGACGGCUGAGGAGCACGGGGGUAUCUGCCUGGCAGAGGGGGAUAACGGGCCGAAAGGACCGCUAAGCCCGCAUACGUUCCCUCUUUGGAGUGAAGAAAGCAGCAAUGCGCUGCCAGAGGAGCCUGCGGCCCAUCAGAUAGUUGGCGGGGUAAUGGCCCACCAAGUCGAUGACGGUUCCCGGGUCUGAGAGGACGGCCCGGGAGACUUGGGGUGAGCCGCGGCCCAGACUCCUCCGGGAGGCGGCAGCACGGAAUUUUCCGCAAUGGGCGGAAGCCUGACCGAGCACCGUCGCGUGGAGGAUGACGGCUUUCGGGUUGUAAAGUCCUUUUGGGGGGGAUGAUUGUGACGGUACCCCUUGAAUAAGCCCCGGCUAACUCCGUG
rnacentral:rRNA from 1 species